rnacentral:rRNA from 1 species
ACGUAGGGGGCAAGCGUUGUCCGGAUUUAUUGGGCGUAAAGAGCUCGUAGGCGGUUGGGUAAGUCAGAUGUGAAACCUCCAGGCUCAACCUGGAGACGCCAUCUGAUACUGCCCUGACUGGAGUUCGGUAGAGGAGUGUGGAAUUCCUGGUGUAGCGGUGAAAUGCGCAGAUAUCAGGAGGAACACCAACGGCGAAGGCAGCACUCUGGGCCGAUACUGACGCUGAGGAGCGAAAGCAUGGGGAGCGAACAGG